rnacentral:rRNA from 1 species
CCUACGGGCGGCAGCAGUGAGGAAUAUUGGUCAAUGGACGAGAGUCUGAACCAGCCAAGUAGCGUGAAGGAUGACUGCCCUAUGGGUUGUAAACUUCUUUUAUAUGGGAAUAAAAUGUUCCACGUGUGGGAUUUUGUAUGUAUCAUAUGAAUAAGGAUCGGCUAACUCCGUGCCAGCAGCCGCGGUAAUACGGAGGAUCCGAGCGUUAUCCGGAUUUAUUGGGUUUAAAGGGAGCGUAGGUGGAUUGUUAAGUCAGUUGUGAAAGUUUGCGGCUCAACCGUAAAAUUGCAGUUGAAACUGGCAGUCUUGAGUACAGUAGAGGUGGGCGGAAUGUGUGGUGUAGCGGUGAAAUGCUUAGAUAUCACGAAGAACUCCGAUUGCGAAGGCAGUUCACUGGACUGCAACUGACACUGAGGCUCGAAAGUGUGGGUAUCAAACAGGAUUAGAUACCCGUGUAGUC